AAUAAUACUUCUAAAAUAUUUAAUAUCAUUUAAUUACUACAAAAUUAUCAUUUUUGAUAUUGCUUUUCUCCAUAACUAUAACAAUUCGAUUAUAAUCAUCAAAGCGCAGAGAUAUAAUCUGAUAGCAUUUAAUUACUACAAAAUUACAAAAUAUUUAGACAAUGAUUCAUAAACAUAUCAUAAAUAAGAUCAACAUUAAUAAAAUAAAUGGUUUUUUUUACAGGACGGGUUUGGCAGGACGUUACUUAAUAAUAUUUGUAAACUAUAAAAUAAAAUUAUUUUAUAGAUAGAUAUAAUUUGUAAACUUUUAUAUAUAUACUAACUUUAAAAAAUAAAUUGUUCCCGUGGUAUACCGCGGGUUAAAAUCUAGUUUAGACGUACAUACGCAAAAAAGUGAGGAAAGAUUCAAACCAUAAUUA
rnacentral:sRNA from 1 species